CCUACGGGGGGCAGCAGUGGGGAAUAUUGGACAAUGGGGGCAACCCUGAUCCAGCCAUGCCGCGUGUGUGAAGAAGGCCCUCGGGUUGUAAAGCACUUUCAGUGAGGAAGAACGCCUGGUGGUUAAUACCCAUCAGGAAAGACAUCACUCACAGAAGAAGCACCGGCUAACUCCGUGCCAGCAGCCGCGGUAAUACGGAGGGUGCGAGCGUUAAUCGGAAUUACUGGGCGUAAAGCGCGCGUAGGUGGCUUGAUAAGCCGGUUGUGAAAGCCCCGGGCUCAACCUGGGAACGGCAUCCGGAACUGUCAAGCUAGAGUGCAGGAGAGGAAGGUAGAAUUCCCGGUGUAGCGGUGAAAUGCGUAGAGAUCGGGAGGAAUACCAGUGGCGAAGGCGGCCUUCUGGACGGACACUGACACUGAGGUGCGAAAGCGUGGGUAGCAAACAGGAUUAGAUACCCGUGUAGUC
rnacentral:rRNA from 1 species